UACGGGGGGUGCGAGCGUUGUCCGGAAUCACUGGGCGUAAAGGGCGCGUAGGUGGCCUGAUAAGGGUGUGGUGAAAGUCCGGGGCUCAACCCCGGAUCUGCCGUGCCGACUGUCAGGCUAGAGUACUGUAGGGGCAGGCGGAAUUCCGGGUGUAGCGGUGGAAUGCGUAGAGAUCCGGAAGAACACCGGUGGCGAAGGCGGCCUGCUGGGCUACUGCUGACACUGAGGCGCGACAGCGUGGGGAGCAAACAGG
rnacentral:rRNA from 1 species